AUCGUGCGAGAAAAAUAAUUAUGAUAAACUCGAUGGAACGCGUGCACGCGCAUGUUUGCUUCAAGUCAUGGAAAAUCGUGGCAGCGGCGCGUUCUUUCUGCAGAAUUUUUUGUAGCCUGUGCCCGCGGGCCCCGUGGAAUAGCUCGUGCGAACGCAGCACUCCAACAAAAGAAGAGGACAACCGGAGAGAUGGAAUGAUGGAACGUCAUUUUACCAGGUGGUGCCACUGCUGCCACCGUGCCGCAGAACACUACCGUGCUGGCACGCGCGGCACGGGCCUGUGCGUGCAGUGACAUUCAGCAGCGUCCGUCCUGGGCUUCUUUUUCUGACGAGUGCCAAGUGUUUCUGUCAUUUGCGUGUUGUCAGGCAGGACUGAUUUGUGAGUUGACUUCGUCGGCUUGGCGCCCUGCAGGGCGGCCACCAUGUCACGCGGAGAUGAACUGGAGACAGUGAAGGCUGUCAUCCGCGCACUGCUUAUUGCCCGUAAGCGACCGAUGCCUCUGAGAAGAUUCCUGCUUACGUUUAUAGAAAGCGAGGGUCAUGUCCUUCCGUACGCAAGGUUUGGCUUUAGUGACCCUCUGAGUUUUCUCCGUAGUAUUCCGGAUGCCGCACAAGUGUCGCAGUUGGGGAGUGACGUCUAUGUAAGAGCCACGGUAACCGACGACAUCGAACACGUCCGGAGGCUGGUCAGAGGCCAGAGGGAACCAAAUUUCAAGUCCAUGCGCCUACCGCCGGCCUACAAACGGCCUGAUCUUUUCCCACCUGUUCAAAGUAUGGCGUUUUCGCCAUCGAGCCUGCAGAACUUUUCCACCCCCAGAUAUACCGGUGCACUGGAUCCGGUGAAGGCCAACCUCGGCAAAGGAAGCGCUGGUGCCCCACCUGUCCUGCCUCCAGUGAGGCCAGCACCAUAUUUCACCGGACAACACACAACUGGGCAACAUCCUUUGCCUGACCAGAGAGCUUUGAAGCCGUUGCAUCAGUUUGUCCGGACAGCACACAGCUGGCAGCCCAUUCAUGCAGAUGUCGAUCUUCGAAUGCCGCAGCUGUCUACAGGGCAGUCAUUUCAUCCAUACACACUGCCUACAAGCAUCGGGCUGCAACAACAAUCAUUCCAAGUCGGGCAUACAGUUCAGCCACUCAACCGUGAGAUUCAGUAUACAGGUGCAGUGACAAAAAUAUGGCGACCUAACCGAAGCAGACUUACAAGUCACUCGUUCCAUCCAGACAUUAAGUCUGCAGGCAUGGAGCCAUCAUGUCAGACUGGGGCUACAGAGCUAUCAGGAGCUCAAAAGGUAGCAACACAGAGAUCGUGCCAAAGCAGGCUAAAUGCUCCACUGGAUUCGGAGGAUGAUGAACCAUCGUCAGACGUGUACAGUCUGAUGCGGCAACAAAAGAUCACCAGGCAAAAUCCUGAACGUUAUGAGGCAUUGUGCCGUAUGAAUCCUCAGGUUGAGAAAAAUAUCAGGAAGGUGCUACGACGACGUCCGGAGGGCAUAUGGCUAUCAGACCUUGUAAAGGUGUACAAGGAAAUUACAGGUGCUGACCUCUGCCCAGUAGAGUACGGCUACAACAGCGUGUGGGACCUGAUACUUGAUUUCCGUCACUUGGUCUCUGUGACAAACCCCCGUCAUGAUGGAAACUGCAUGAUUGGUCCACACGAAAAUCCCACAACACCUACUCUGAGUUCGUGGACGGUGAACGUCUUGCGGCUGUUACUAAGGUUGAGUGGGCCACAAGGGCUGACUGUUCUUCAGCUUCUUCAGGCGUUCCAAAAAGUCACAGGGAAGACAAUUGACCUUGAAAAGUGUGGGCUCUCAACUCAUGCAUUUGUUACUUUACUCGCAACGGGAUCUUACCUGACAUUCGAGGACCUGGGCGAAGGGCAGUUUCUGCUCAAGAGUCAACUGCCAAAGGGAACCAGGGAAACUGUUCCUAUGGAAGUGGUUGGACCAACAAGGCCACCUGAAAAAAAUAAAAGUGCUCGAGCAGACCAAGCUCCCACAGCAAACGAAACCACUCAAGUGAAGAAAUGUGCCCCACUAACCAGUACUCUCAAGGCAAUGAGUGGUAUUGAAGCAUUGAAAAAUUCAGAUAUAGCUGAGUAUGUUGAAAUAGCUGAAAACACUGGUUCUCCAGACUCUUCUGAAGUUGAUGAACUGGAACAAAUGAUUAUGACAGCACUGACGUCGCCUAACAUGGGACGGGUCAAGAGCCCUCCACUUUUCAUGGCCAACAACCCCUAUGCACGGCCGGACCACCUGGAAGUAGGCAAACAUUAUGCUGUGUAUGUGUCACAGAUAUACAGUGUCCACCACUUCUACAUCCAAAAGAAGGGGCUAGAUGCCUCUGUUCGUCUCGAAGCACUCAUGAACCAACUGGAUUUGGUGUAUAAUGGUCCUGAGUCGAGUGCCUACCUCAUUGACGACAAGCUGGUACAUGUGGGGAUGCCCUGUGCAGCAUCUUAUACCUACAGUGAAGGCAACUCCGACUGGCACCGGGGUUUGGUGGUGGGGCUUGACGCCGAUCCGAGUAUUUGCCAGGUGCUUUUUAUUGACUAUGGCACACUUACGUUUCUCAAGAAAACAGAAGUGCGUUUCUUGAGAAAUGACUUCUUUGACUUGCCACCCCAAGCUGUGCGAGCCACCAUGGAAUACUUGAAACCUGUGACUCCUGAUGGCUGGACACUUGAAACGAAAACUGCCUUCAUCGAGUUAGCAAGUGGUGACAAGACCUUGGUGUGCAAAGUUUUGAAGCGUCGGGGUGCUCUGCACUCUGUCAGUCUUUGCAUUACAAGCCACAACUCUGAAGAAUACGUUUCUGAUCUGCUGGUGGAACGUCGUCUUGCUCUGCCCACCUUGAAGUACAAAGAAACAAUAGCCCGGAUGAUGGAAGCUGGGCCAUGUUCCACAGACCGAAAAGUGAAUGUCCCAGGCACACCUCCGUCAUUGAACAGUGGCAGUGACAUCACCAGCAAACAACCAACAGCUGUGGUACACCCAUCUCAACACUGGGGAUUUGUAGCUGACCAGAGCAUGCGAACAGGCCUUGGACCUCAACCAGCCGACGUCAGACUGAGAGCUCAAGAUUCCCUGCCGUUUCACCAAGCUGAGCCAAGUGCCCAAACUUCUGCAUCUGCUUCACAAGCAACCAAACCUGCUCAGCCAUUAGAUGAAGAGUGUGCUCAUGCACCAGCACUUAAACAAGCUCAACAAAAAGGACAUGUGCAAUCAACAUUACCUAAGGAUCUUCCAUCAGUGCCCCAUACCAAUGGCGUACAAAUGCCUACACCACAAUAUUCUGAACAAGUCCCUGAUGAGCAUGUUAUACCAUGUCAACCUAAUACAAAUUACUAUCUUUCUUGCCAAGAGAUUCCACCUCUAAAGGAUUGGCAAGAACCUUUUGAACAAGAACAGCGAUUAGCUAGGUGCCAUGCCUCAUCAACUGUGAAGCCAUGCGCAGAAUCUGCACAAAUAACCAUGCAGUCAGCAGUGCAGAUCGACGUGCAUUCAAGGGGAGAGCCAGCAUCAGAACCAGUUCACGAUCCAGAACCAGUUGCUGCGUCUACUGUGCACCGAUAUUUGCAGUCAGCUGUUCGAGAUACUGCACAGCCUGGUGGAGAAUCUGCUGUACAGUCCACUCCUAGUUUAGCUGUGCAGCCUCAGUUCCAGGGACCUGUACAGCCACCACUGAAGCCUGCCAUGGCCAUUCCUGGGGUGCCACCUUCUCAGUUUCAAACGCCUCUUGCGACUGAAAGAAUGACAAACCAGCCUUCACAUGAGGCUGUUGACGAUGAGGUGGAUAUCUUGGACCUGCUUCGAGAAGAGCUAGAUGGACGUCGUCCCAGCCGGGCAGUGAAGCCGGAGCACCUCACAUCUGGUUACUGCCUUAUGGUAGUGAAUUGUGAGGGUGUGCCCUACGUAACCACUGCUAAUGUGUGCCAGCUCCUUGGAUGGCCCUCGGAUGUGAUCCUUCAAAGGCUGGAAGCCAAGUGCAUCCAGUUUCCAACACUGGUCUUGAAAAGGGACAGCAACAACUAUUGGAUUUUUAAUGAAAUGGCCAGCUGUGAUGUCCCAGGGGUGAAGUUCGAACACAGUCAGCCUCAAGAGGUCACGCUGAUUCCACUGAGAAAUGUCCUUGACCUGCUCAACCUCUUUGAGUUCACCGAGGCCAAGUUGAGGCAUGACAUCGUUGCAGUCUUGUACUCGUUCAACCCAAGAAGCUCAUACUGGCAUUGCCAUGCAGGGUCGGGCCGAGACGCCAUCCAGGAGGGAGACACCUUUCGUGGAUGAUGACUGCUACUUGGACACGCUCUGACUCCCUGCAUACCAGUAUACCAAGGAGCUUGGUGAGGGAGACACCUAGUGCCCUGCAAGGAGCUCAGCAAGUGUGAUACUUUCUUUUUGUUUGUCUUUUUUUUUUUUUGUAGGUCUCGAAAGUGCAGCGACACAUGUUGAAAACAUGAUUUCUUGUGUGCUUUUUUUGCAAAUUGUGUUUUGUCGUUAAUUCAAGUGUGCAAUACUGUAACUUCAUUGUGCAAUCCAUGCACGUCACACAGGCACAUGCUGGCAUGACGCUGGCACAUGCUGAUCUCUUGUUUUUUUAGGUGUCAUCAAACACAUCACUUGUUUUUUUAAUGUAUUCCCUGUGGUUUGGGUGACCAUGAAAACUCGUAUUGAUCUGGCUGCCACAUUGCAAAUUAAUUUUUUAUUUAAGGGUUUGUUUUGUUAUGUAAAGCAACAAGCGACUUUUUAGUUUUUAAUAUUUAUGUAUUAUGCCAUGAGUACAAAUAAAGUGCUUGUUGAGAUUUUGA
rnacentral:misc_RNA from 1 species